GAUACUCUCAGAAGGGUUGCAGGUGUGACUGCUCUGUCUCAUGUAUACCAGUAGGUGGCAGAGAGGAGAGAGGAUAUGUCUACCCUCAGUGUUCUGACCUGUGAACAUCUAAUUGAUUAGUAGCCUUAUACU